AAUAAAAUAAUCUUCGAAGAGAGCAAAGAAGGCCCACCAAUACAACAUAUCAAUCGUCUCUUUGAUUGCUGAUUCUUUCAUUUUUUUUUUUUUUUUUUUUUUUUUUUUUUUUUU
rnacentral:ribozyme from 13 species